CCAUGGCCACCGUCAUCCAGGAUGUCUUGGGCUAUUUCCCCGGUGAGGCGCACGCCCUCGCGGCGUCCUCCUCCCUCUCCGCAGCCGCGGGCUACCACGGCGAGGACCGCGUCAGCGCCCUCCCCGACACCCUCCUCCGCAACAUCCUCUCUCGCCUCCCCGCCAAGGACGCCGCCCGAACCGCCUCCCUCGCCUCCCGGUGGCGCCACAUCUGGCGCUCCACCCCGCUCGUCCUCCGCGACGCCGACGUGCCCCGCGCCGCGGUCGCGCGCGUCCUCGCCAGCCACCCGGGCCCCUUCCGCGCCGUCACCCUCGCCCGAUGCAGGUUCGCCUACCACGAGCGUAUGCUCGCCCAGUGGCCGCGCCUCCUCGCCUCCAAGGGCGUCGACGACCUCGUCCUAGUCAACAACGCCAGCGACCCCUCCGCCGACACGCUGCCCCUCCCCGCCGACGUCUUCCGAUGCGCCUCGCUCCAGCGCCUCUUCCUCGGCUUCUGGACGCUCCCGGACACCGCCGGCCUCCGCCGCGGCGCCGACGUGUUCCCUCUCCUCCGGGAGCUCUCCCUGUUCGCCACCACCAUCACCGACGGGGACGACCUCGACUACAUGCUCGCCUGCAGCCCUGCUCUCCAGACCCUCGCGCUCAUAUUCAACCAGACGCCCGACCGCGUCCACCUCCGCAGCAAGAGCCUGCGUUGCGUGCUCCUCUGGUUGUCCAUGGUGGAGGAGGGGGUCGUCGUGGUGGACGCCCCGCUCCUCGAGCGGCUUAUCCUCUUUGACUGUCCUGCUGGAUCUGGUGAAGAAGAGGGUCAGGUGAAGGUCAAGAUUUUUUGUGCACCAAAGCUGCGGGUGCUUGGUUACUUGGACCCAAGAGUUCACCAGCUGCAGAUCGGUGACAAAGUCAUCAAGCCUAACGCAAGGCCCAGCCCAAGCACCAUGGUUCCAGGCGUCAAGGUAUUGGCCUUGAAGAUUAAUCUGGGUGUCUCAAAGGAGGUCAAGAUGAUGACCAGCUUCCUCGCCUGCUUUCCCAACGUCGAGAAGCUGCACAUCGAGUCUGUUGUAGCCGAUGAUGGACCUGCUGGACAGCAGCACCCGUCCAAGGUCUGGAAGGAGGUCUGUCGCGUCGACUGCCUCAAGUCACAUGUCAAGAAGGUGCUUCUCCACCAAUUCCGCGGCGACCAGGGUGAACUUGACUUCAUCAAGUUCAUCGGCAGGAGCGCGCUGCAGCUGCAGGCCUUGCUGGUUGUGCUCACCCCAGAAGAUUACGCUUCGCCGGACAAGGUGAACGAGCUGAUGCGCAAACUCAGGGAUCACUCCGGUGUACCAUGGGCUUGCAAGUACGGUUUUCUGCUGGUGGUAGGGCCUAAGCUGCCGAGCGUUUGGAAAUGGAACUUCCGGAAAGCGUCCGACCUUGCUGAAGAUGACCCUUUUGCAUCUUGAACCUGAGGGUCUACCAGGUAGCCAGGCGUUAUGUGUUAUCUUAUACAUCACGGUGGCAGGAUGACAUAUGCUAUGUAGCUCUGCUUGUGAUUUCUAGGCUGCAACAUCCAGUGGGUCUAGCAUGUAGCCAAGCCUUAUGUGUUAUCUUAUGCAUCAUGGUGAUUAGGAUGACAAACGCUGUGCACCUCUGCUUGUGGUUUCUAGGCUGCAACCUCCAGUGGUAGAUGUUUCUGACCAACUGAUUAUAUUACGAGUUGCUGCGGAAGACAGGUAUCAUCUGUGUCUGUAUUUUGUGUAUGAUUGGAUAGUUUAGCUAUAAG